rnacentral:lncRNA from 1 species
CAAAAUUCAAGGGAAAUUUAUAAUACAAACUUUGUCAACAAAAUAUGAAAAUACAAUACUCAACUUUCAUCUUCAAAGCCUCUACUGACCACUAUCUUUCUAGGCUGGGAAAAGGCCCCUAGCUGAAUCAUAAAAUUAAUGAUAUUACAUAUGGAUAGAAUACCUUUCAGUGUAAGGGAGGCUCACCACUCUAAACUUC